rnacentral:rRNA from 1 species
UACGGGGGGGCAAGCGUUGUUCGGAAUUACUGGGCGUAAAGGGCUCGUAGGUGGCCAACUAAGUCAGACGUGAAAUCCCUCGGCUUAACCGGGGAACUGCGUCUGAUACUGGAUGGCUGGAGUAUGGGAGAGGAAUGCGGAAUUCCAGGUGUAGCGGUGAAAUGCGUAGAUAUGUGGAGGAACACCGAUGGCGAAGGCAGCCCCUGGGUCAAGACUGACGCUCAUGCACGAAAGCGUGGGGAGCAAACAGG